CAGUAGCCGCGGGAAAACGUAGGGCGCGAGCGUUGUCCGGAAUCAUUGGGCGUAAAGCGCGUGUAGGCGGCUGAGUAAGUCUGCUGUGAAAGUCCAGGGCUUAACCCUGGGAUGUCGGCGGAUACUGCUCAGCUGGAGUACGGGAGGGGCGAGUGGAAUUCCUGGUGUAGCGGUGGAAUGCGCAGAUAUCAGGAGGAACACCUAUGGCGAAGGCGGCUCACUGGUCCAUUACUGACGCUGAGGUGCGAAAGCGUGGGGAGCAAACAGGAUUAGAUACCCCCGUAGUCCCUGUCUCUUAUAC
rnacentral:rRNA from 1 species